rnacentral:rRNA from 1 species
GACGAACGCUGGCGGCGUGCCUAAUACAUGCAAGUAGAACGCUGAAGGAGGAGCUUGCUUCUCCGGAUGAGUUGCGAACGGGUGAGUAACGCGUAGGUAACCUGCCUGGUAGCGGGGGAUAACUAUUGGAAACGAUAGCUAAUACCGCAUAAUAGCAGUUAUUGCAUGAUAACUGUUUGGAAGGUGCAAUUGCACCACUACCAGAUGGACCUGCGUUGUAUUAGCUAGUUGGUGGGGUAACGGCUCACCAAGGCGACGAUACAUAGCCGACCUGAGAGGGUGAUCGGCCACACUGGGACUGAGACACGGCCCAGACUCCUACGGGAGGCAGCAGUAGGGAAUCUUCGGCAAUGGGGGGAACCCUGACCGAGCAACGCCGCGUGAGUGAAGAAGGUUUUCGGAUCGUAAAGCUCUGUUGUAAGAGAAGAACGGGUGUGAGAGUGGAAAGUUCACACUGUGACG